GAUGAACGCUAGCGACAGGCCUAACACAUGCAAGUCGAGGGGCAACAUGGUAUCAGCUUGCUGAUACCGAUGGCGACCGGCGCACGGGUGAGUAACGCGUAUGUAAUCUACCUGUAACAGAGGGAUAACCCGGAGAAAUCCGGACUAAUACCUCAUAGCACAUAUUAUUCGCAUGAAUUUUAUGUUAAAGAGACUCGGUUACAGAUGAACAUGCGUUCCAUUAGCUGGUUGGCGGGGUCACGGCCCACCAAGGCAACGAUGGAUAGGGGUUCUGAGAGGAAGGUCCCCCACACUGGUACUGAGACACGGACCAGACUCCUACGGGAGGCAGCAGUGAGGAAUAUUGGUCAAUGGGCGGAAGCCUGAACCAGCCAAGUCGCGUGAGGGAAGACUGCCCUAUGGGUUGUAAACCUCUUUUAUUCGGGAAGAAUAAGUUUCACGCGUGGAACGAUGCCUGUACCGAAUGAAUAAGCAUCGGCUAACUCCGUGCCAGCAGCCGCGGUAAUACGGAGGAUGCGAGCGUUAUCCGGAUUUAUUGGGUUUAAAGGGUGCGUAGGCGGUUGAUUAAGUUAGUGGUAAAAUGUCAUGGCUAAACCUUGGCCAGCCAUUAAUACUGGUCAGCUUGAGUACAGACGAGGUAGGCGGAAUAAGUUAAGUAGCGGUGAAAUGCUUAGAUAUAACUUAGAACUCCGAUAGCGAAGGCAGCUUACCAGACUGUGACUGACGCUGAAGCACGAAAGCGUGGGUAGCGAACAGG
rnacentral:rRNA from 1 species